GUCUCGAUGGUGUAGUCGGUUAUCACAUGCGCCUCACACGCGCAAGGUCUCCAGUUCGAUCCUGGAUCGAGACA
rnacentral:tRNA from 1 species